GGUAACUUGAAGGACAUUAAUCUUGCCAACAUUGUGUUGAUACCCAAAAAAGAUGAUCCCACCGACAUCAAAGAUUUCCGCCCAAUUUCUCUGGUCCAUAGUUUGCCCAAGCUGAUUACAAAGGCCUUAGCUCUGCGGCUCCAAUGCCUCAUACCAUCACUUAUACACCCUAUGCAGUCGGGUUUUCUGCCAGGGAGGUGCAUUUUCGAGAAUUUUGCACUAGCUGCGGAGUUGGUACAGCAGGCUCACAAGAGGAAGAAGCCCAUGAUCGUACUCAAGUUAGACUUCCAGAAGGCCUUCGAUUCUGUCAGUUGGGAUGCCUUGGAGCGAAUUUUUGUGGCCAGGGGGUUCAGGCAGCAUUGGAUCAAGUGGAUCUCCACAAUCUUCCACUCCAGCUCCGCUCAAAUCAUGAUGAAUGGACAGCUGGGGGAGACAAUUAUAUCCAAAUGCGGGCUAAGACAGGGAGAUGCACUCUAG
rnacentral:rRNA from 1 species